rnacentral:rRNA from 1 species
AACGAACGCUGGCGGCAGGCUUAACACAUGCAAGUCGAACGCCCCGCAAGGGGAGUGGCAGACGGGUGAGUAACGCGUGGGAAUCUACCCAAUUCUACGGAACAACAGUUGGAAACGACUGCUAAUACCGUAUACGCCCUACGGGGGAAAGAUUUAUCGGAAUUGGAUGAGCCCGCGUUGGAUUAGCUAGUUGGUGGGGUAAAGGCCUACCAAGGCGACGAUCCAUAGCUGGUCUGAGAGGAUGAUCAGCCACAUUGGGACUGAGACACGGCCCAAACUCCUACGGGAGGCAGCAGUGGGGAAUAUUGGACAAUGGGCGCAAGCCUGAUCCAGCCAUGCCGCGUGAGUGAUGAAGGUCUUAGGAUUGUAAAGCUCUUUCACCGGAGAAGAUAAUGACGGUAUCCGGAGAAGAAGCCCCGGCUAACUUCGUGCCAGCAGCCGCGGUAAUACGAAGGGGGCUAGCGUUGUUCGGAAUUACUGGGCGUAAAGCGCACGUAGGCGGAUAUUUAAGUCAGGGGUGAAAUCCCAGAGCUCAACUCUGGAACUGCCUCUGAUACUGGGUAUCUUGAGUAUGGAAGAGGUGAGUGGAAUUGCGAGUGUAGAGGUGAAAUUCGUAGAUAUUCGSMAGAACACCAGUGGCGAAGGCGGCUCACUGGUCCAUAACUGACGCUGARGGUGSAAGCGUGGGGRAGCAAAC